ensembl:lncRNA LAMA4-AS1 LAMA4 antisense RNA 1
UCCCCUUUGGAGAUCACUGGAAACAGCUUCUGGACCACAAAUGGGGUGAACUACUGUAUCGAGAAAGGAGAGAGUAAGACUUGAGAGCUAUCUUUUUAGCUCAGGGUGCAGGACCUUCCACCACUGCACCAUAGCUAUCCACUUGGCACACAUUAAGUACUCAACAGAUAUUUGUUGGAUGGAUGGAUACAUGAAGAAAGGAGGAAUAGAGGAAUGAACAAAUGGGUAAAUCACUUUCCAAUUAGUGGAGGACUGGACUAAGAACUCAGUUAAGUGAAGCAAGCAAGAAUUUCCCAAGUGAUGCCAACUCAAAAUGAAUUAUAUCAAGAAAGGAAAAGCAGCUUUUUCAUCUGGAAAGAACUGGAGACCUUGAACCUAGGCAGCAUGUGCCUUGAACCUAGGAUCAGUAAACAACAAGGAUGGAAAAGACAGUAAGAAUUUGGUCAGAUCACCAUAUCUUUCCGUUGUGCCUUUAGAACAAAAGGAAAGAAAAUAUCUCUUUGGCUCACAGAGAAAAUAUGUUGAGAAAUGAAGUACAACCCCUCACUGUGCUGGGCACAGAGCAGGUGCUCGGUAAAUAAAUAGUGUACGUGUUCGCUGA